UGCCAUAGUUUUACUAUGGCUGUGGUCGAGUGUAAAUUACUCGGCAAGAAAGGGGUGGGUAAUACGGGUGCCAGCAGCCGCGGUAACCCCCGAGCCCCGAGUGGUGGCCACGAUUAUUGGGCCUAAAGCAUUCGUAGCCGGAUUAAUAAGCUCUCGGUGAAAUUGUUCAGCUUAACUGAACGAAUUGCCUUGAAUACUGUUAAUCUAGGGAUUGGGUAAAGUCAGGGGUAUGCCUGGGGGAGGGGUAAAAUCCUUUAAUCCUAGGUAGACCACCAGUGGCGAAGGCGCCUGACUGGAACAACUCCGACGGUAAAGGAUGAGAGUUAGGGGAGCAAACGGGAUUAGAUACCCCGGUAGUCCUAACUGUAAACGCUGCCCAUUAGGUAUUACGCAUUCCUCGUGUUUGUGUAGUGCCGUAGUGAAGACGUUAAAUGGGCCGCCUGGGGAGUACGGUCGCAAGACUGAAACU
rnacentral:rRNA from 1 species